UUCAAUUACAAUUUGCCAUUCUUCUAUAACGUUCUUAUCUCCUGCCACCUGUAGGUUCUACACUAUCAACACAGACAGAGGGCCUCAUCUUUUGGGUUUUGGUUAUUUGCUCGACCCAGAGAGAGAUGGAGUGAAGUAAAUAGGAAGAAAGGAGAGAAGACGAGGCCAUCCCUUCAAAAUGUCCAUCGCUAGGGUGGAGUUUGCCAUUGGAGGCUUAAUCGUGGACACCAAGGUGUUCUAUUGGCCAAGAAAGGUCUUUUGCUAUGGAUUUCCGUGUGCUUAGCUUUGCUGAUUGAAGAAGAUGAAUGGGAAAAUGAGCUCUUCUUCAACUUCAGAAGAAAGUGAAAGAUAAGAUUGAAAAGAAGAGGGGGGCUUACCAAAAUUAGGGGUUUAAGACAAAGCAAGCAAGCAAGCACCCUGAUCACACUGACUGGGGAUCUCACUCAUUGAUAUGGCCAUUACCUAAGGUCUCCAUUGUUUUCACCUGUCAUGAGUCAGUAGCUGACCCUGCAGCACUCAAAUCAAAUUGCCUAAUUGUACAGCUGAUUCUCCUGCAAAGAUGCAUUCUUAUGCUUAAAACGGUUGCUACCUUGAGGAGAGAUGCAGCUGCUCAGGAGCUGAUGUGUGCCUGGAAUGCUGGCCGCUUAUGACAAUUGCUAUUAAAGUGAUUGACACUGCCUUUUGAGAUGACUUUGGUUUCAAUGACAUUCUUUGGGUAUACAGUGGCCGACAUGGUGUUCACUAUUGGGUUUGUGAUGAGAAAGCUGGAAGGUAAAUCACUCGGUAGUACUUUUGGUCUCUAAGAUAUGUCAUGACACUUAAGAGCAGCUAUUACUGACAUUUUCGUGUCUAAAAGGUGGUAUUGUACUUCAAACUCUUUUGGGUUAAAAGACAUCUGAUAUGUUAUCCGAUUUUGUAAAAGUCGUUAACGAUUAGCCCUGCUCUUUAUCAAUUCCUUUAGAGUUGUGAGAAUCUGUAUUCAAUAUUUGCAAUAUGACUUGCUUAUGAUUCAGCUUGCAUUAGCUUAGAUUUUUGGGGUAGACCAAGAUGUUGCAUUGAAACUACUGGGAUAUGAAAGAUCAUUCGAACCUCUCGAAGAUAAGGCUCUUACACAGUCAUUAAUUCCUACAUCGAAAAAAUUGAUGCUGAUGUUGUGAAAUUAAGUAAAAGAAAGAAGUACUACACAUAAAACGACUACAUGCUCUGAUUGAGAAAUUGAAUAUGUAGAGGAAGCCAAGACUGUAACUUUCUUUCUAUUUAUUGCAGGAACACAGUGUAGAGAGUUAGAGAA